CAGUCGCCGCGGUAAAACGAAGGGGGCUAGCGUUGCUCGGAAUGACUGGGCGUAAAGGGCGCGUAGGCGGAUUGUUUAGUUAGGCGUGAAAUUCCUGGGCUUAACCUGGGGACUGCGCUUAAUACAGGCAGUCUAGAGUGAGGAAGAGGGUUGUGGAACUCCCAGUGUAGAGGUGAAAUUCGUAGAUAUUGGGAAGAACACCGGUGGCGAAGGCGGCAACCUGGUCCUUGACUGACGCUGAGGCGCGAAAGCGUGGGGAGCAAACAGGAUUAGAUACCCCGGUAGUCCCUGUCUCUUAUAA
rnacentral:rRNA from 1 species